GAUUGGUCCAACAGGAUGCACACGCAGUCAUUCACAUUAAAGUCUGGGCAGCUCCUUCAUCAUCAUCAUUAUUAUCGUUCCUCAAGGAAAUCCAAGGCCCUCGGUGAUGGAUGAAGUUGGUUAGAUGUUGAGAUUGAAGAUUGUGCAGAAGGCAACUCCAUGAAGACCUGGUGUGGUGGUGAAGGCUUGAGGAGAAGAACUGGAGUGUCCUGCACAGAGCCCUGAUCCUGACUCAACCCCACUGACCACCUCUGGGAUGAACUGGAACUCCAGACCUCUUCACACAAGAGUCUGAUCUCACUAAUGCUCUUCUAGCUGAAUGACCACUAAUCCCCAUAGACACGACCCAACAUCUUUUUGGAGAACCUUCCAGAAGAGUGGCUCUGAUUAGAACAGGGGGAGUAAAGCUGGAAUGAGACAUACAACACACACAUAUGGGUGUGAUGGUCAGGGUGCACAAACCUUUGGCCACACAGCAGGAAAGAAACAAAAACUGAACAAAUGAAAAGUAAAACUGUGGCACAGGAUUGGAGAACCGCUGAAAAGCUCAAGACUUCAAAUCUCCAGCAAACAAGCUUCAGAAGCCGUUCACGCUCAUACUGAAACUUAUCCUUCCUCUGAAUCCAAACCGAAAAACUCCAAAUCAGUCAGACUGUAGAGGUGUAGAAAGCGGUGUCCUGUGAGCGGUCCUUCAUUCCUGGCUCUGGGAGAACCCUGAAAGGUUCUGUGUAAACCUCUAAAGGUAACCUGUAAAGUGUAAACUGUGAGGUUCUGAUGAGCUCCAUUUUUGAUGCCAGUGAAUCCUUCACACUCCUUGCUUUGAUGAGAACAUGCCUACAGCAUCACUCUGCUCAAAAGUAUUUACCUUUUGUGAAGUUUACCUUUUUGGUCUGGAAACUUUGUGAGUUUGCAGAAGAGCAAAAACAUUAAAAACAUAAAAACCAGAUGUUGGUAAAUGUGAGUUAAAGACAGUAACACAGUCACUGGUGCGUAUUCAUUGCAUUUCACUGGGUUUAUUAGGGUUUUUUUUUUUCUUCCUUUAAGUGUACUAUUUACACAAAUGUUCAGGCACUCUGGACUUACAAUCACACUCGCGUACAGAUUACAAAAAACAAAAAACAAAAGCAAAAACAGAAACAACAGAUCUUAGAAAGCAUCAGAUCCUGAAGAGUUUCCAUGUUUAAAUAACUAUAAACACAAAGAAAUAACAUCUGAAACUCAUUUUCUGCUUCAUCAUUAUAAUCAUAAAUCAUCAUCAUCAUCAUCAUCUGUAUUCAAGUAAAAACAUGUCAAUGCUUACACACACACACACACACACACACACACACACACACACACACAGCAGAUCCUCUCCAAA